UGAAUUCUUAUGUCUAAGAUUCCCAGGCUCAGCCUGGGAGAAAUUUUCUCUGUUCUUUCUUUGGCUGAACUGAGACUAUCCACAGGCACCUUACACAGAUAUGGGAGGAAGAUUACAGCAGGAUUAGUGCUUCACAUGGAUCCCUCCUGACUGGAACUGCUUUGGCUGUUUCUUGUGGAAUCAUACAGCUCCCACAGCCUAGCAGGGACAGCAAGAGAUGCAAACACCACUAAAGGCAGAAGGCCAGCCAUGCCCUGAGGUCCCCAGGCUCCGCAUGAUGAGGGAGAUCCAAGCUUCAUUUGAGAGGUGGUUACAGUGUAAUUCCUGUGAGAGGUUUGUGCUCCCCCCGGCCAGAAGAGAGAAGGCACAGGUAAGGUAACCGUGUUUCUGUCCUUCUCCCAGGUGAUCAAAAUGAGGGAUUCAUCCUACCUAAACAGGAUGGACACCUAAGAACAGCUAAAAUGACUUAAUCCUUUAAGAUCAGCCUACAGUAACAAAUCAUCAUCCCAG